GGGGAAUUUUCCGCAAUGGGCGAAAGCCUGACGGAGCAAUACCGCGUGAGGGAGGAAGGCUCUUGGGUUGUAAACCUCUUUUCUCAGGGAAGAAUGAUGACGGUACCUGAGGAAUAAGCAUCGGCUAACUCCGUGCCAGCAGCCGCGGUAAUACGGAGGAUGCAAGCGUUAUCCGGAAUGAUUGGGCGUAAAGCGUCCGCAGGUGGCAAUGUAAGUCUGCUGUCAAAGCGUCUGGCUCAACCAGAUAAAGGCAGUGGAAACUACAUAGCUAGAGUAAGGUAGGGGUAGAGGGAGUUCCUGGUGUAGCGGUGAAAUGCGUAGAGAUCAGGAAGAACACCGGUGGCGAAAGCGCUCUGCUGGACCUUAACUGACACUGAGGGACGAAAGCUAGGGGAGCGAAUGGGAUUAGAUACCCCAGUAGUCCUAGCCGUAAACGAUGGAUACUAGGCGUUGCCCGUAUCGACCCGGGCAGUGUCGUAGCUAACGCGUUAAGUAUCCCGCCUGGGGAGUACGCAGGCAACUGUGAAACUCAAAGGAAUUGACGGGGGCCCGCACAAGCGGUGGAGUAUGUGGUUUAAUUCGAUGCAACGCGAAGAACCUUACCAGGGCUUGACAUGUCCGGAAUCCUCUUGAAAGGGAGGAGUGCCUUCGGGAGCCGGAACACAGGUGGUGCAUGGCUGUCGUCAGCUCGUGUCGUGAGAUGUUGGGUUAAGUCCCGCAACGAGCGCAACCCUCGUUCUUAGUUGCCAUCAUUAAGUUGGGAACUCUAAGGAGACUGCCGGUGACAAACCGGAGGAAGGUGGGGAUGACGUCAAGUCAGCAUGCCCCUUACGCCCUGGGCUACACACGUACUACAAUGCUAUGGACAAAGGGCAGCAAGCCAGCGAUGGCAAGCAAAUCUCGUAAACCAUGGCUCAGUUCAGAUCGCAGGCUGCAACUCGCCUGCGUGAAGUCGGAAUCGCUAGUAAUUGCAGGUCAGCAUACUGCAGUGAAUUCGUUCCCGGGCCUUGUACACACCGCCCGUCACACCAUGGAAGCUGGUCACGCCCGAAGUCGUUACCCUAACCUUUCGAGGAGGGGGACGCCGAAGGUAGGACUGGUGACUGGGGUGAAGUCGUAACAAGGUAGCCGUACCGGAAGGUGUGGCUGGAUCACCUCCU
rnacentral:rRNA from 1 species